rnacentral:piRNA from 1 species
CAGGUACUGAGAGAACCAGAUAG